rnacentral:rRNA from 1 species
AUUGAACGCUGGCGGCAGGCCUAACACAUGCAAGUCGAACGAGUGGCGGACGGGUGAGUAAUGUCUGGGAAACUGCCUGAUGGAGGGGGAUAAAUACUGGAAACGGUAGCUAAUACCGCAUACCAUCGGAUGUGCCCAGAUGGGAUUAGCUUGUUGGUGGGGUAACGGCUCACCAAGGCGACGAGCCCUAGCUGGUCUGAGAGGAUGACCAGCCCUACUGGAACUGAGACACGGGACAGACUCCCACGGGAGGCAGCAGUGGGGAAUAUUGCACAAUGGGCGCAAGCCUGAUGCAGCCAUGCCUCGUGUGUUAAGAAGGCCUUCGGGUUGUAAAGCACUUUCAGCGGGGAGGCGUUACCCGCAGAAGAAGCACCGGCUAACUCCGUGCCAGCAGCCGCGGUAAUAC